GAAUAUGGGAAGCAUACGAGUAUCUGCAAGGAGUACUGCAAGGGCGACACCAACACCAAAAGCCUUGGUCCUUUUUUGGGAUGCCAGUCGGUGGGCCGGACCCUCCCUAUCACGCUAUAGCAUUGUGCAGACUGUGCAGAAAUGGAGGAUGGCCAGCAGAGCAGGGGACCAAUGAUAUGGAAAAUCCUCGGUCUCGAUCAUAGGAGACUUUCAAAACUAAAUUCCAAAAUUGACCACAAUGUGUGCUAAACAAUGUGAUGAUAGAGCAGUUUCCAUUUUUUUGGGAGCAUGGAACUUGAUCUCGGGACCAUGUUGGUUCCUUCUCUCUGUAUAUUUCAUAUCGCAACGUAAGAAACCGGAGGAUGGCACGAUUGUCAGUUAUGAAAAAUUUUGGUAUGUGUUUUGUAUGAUUGUGUUUGUUGCUGCGAUAAUACACACUCUGAGUGGGGUUCUGCUGCUGUUUGGCGUGUGGAAGGACUAUGGAGGAGUGUUCUUAGUGGGUAUGGUUAUUAGCAAUUUCUUGCCAAUCGUGUUGGUUUUAACCGUAAUUAUACCAAUUAUACAAGUUUUUUGCGUGUUUAGAGCGCUCAAUUACUGGAGAUCGAACUGGCCUUAGUUCCAGCUACAUAUGUCUAGAUCAUGGAAACUAUAUCUUAUAAAUCAAAAUUAAUGUAUAAAAGACCAUAAAUUAUCAGUAUAAAUAAA